GGUCGUCAUUGGGUGAAAAAGAAACAGGGGAAGCUGUAUGAAAAACACCUUCACAUCCAUCAACAACAGGAUCAAAAGCCCCUUCUUCCAAUAAAUUAGCCUUGAACAAAUGAAGUCUUUCUUUAGCUCCGUCAAGUGCAAGCAAGUGUUCUGUUUUCUUUGGAUCACCUGUAACAAAAUAAUAGGAGUACAUAAAAAAUAAACGUGACCAAAUAGAGCUCAAAAGGAGAGAGAUAGAGAGUGAGUUACUGACUCGGGUCACGGACAGUGGUUUUGACAGUGUAGCCAUGUUGAAGCAAAAGCUUAACUAGCCAUGAAGCUAUGUAACCUGACCCUCCCGUGACACACACCACCUUGCCGUCCCCACCUCUGCUCAUCGUCUCUGUGCCAGUGGCGACUGCCCGGUAACUGACAAGAGAGCGUAUUCCUUAGUAGAAUGUUAAUAGGUGAAGCAAAACUUUAGAACAUACUCUUACAAGGUAUUCUUGUAAAGCUGGUGGACCAAACACCUGGUAGAAACAAAGGGUGACGCUCUCUGCUCUAUCUUCGUCCAAUAAUAAAUAUUAUGUAUUUAUUUAAUGAUUUAUGGUUUGUAUUAACUUUGAUAUGUUGUAAAGUUUUGCUCCACCGAUUAACAUUUUUUUUCUUUCAAGUUGAUAUUAAAUAAAAGCUCUCCAUCCUUGCUGACACUAUCAACCACCGACUAUCAAUAAUAAAUAUCAACUUGCAAGAAAAAAAUUAUUAAGCAAAUCCAAGUUUUAUUAAAUAAAUAUAUAAAUAAACAAAUAAUUUAUGGUUUGUAUCAAGGUAUAAACUGAAUUUGAUAACUACUCAUAAAAAUCCAGGGAAAAAAGAGCGUAGAUGUAGAUAUAAGUAAUGCUGAACAUGAAUUUGCUAAUUUUAACUGUUAUGAUCUCUCUCUCUCUCUCUCUCUCUAUAUAUAUAUAUAUAUAUAUAUAUAUAUAUAUUUCUUUUUGUUUUCUUUCUUAUCAUGUCAACUUAGCAUUAGAUAAAUGACAUUUUCUGUACAAUAUAUUUUUUUUGGAUGCACAUUAUCUUUAGAGGGUGUUUGAGAGUGUAAUAGCGGUUGCUUUUCAAAUAGUUUUUCAUACCGAAAAGCAUGUCAAUAAUAUUUUUUUAUUUUUUAAAAAUCAUUUUUGAUAUUAGCACAUCAAAACGAUCUAAAAAGUACAAACCACACUCAAUUUUAAUAAAAAAAAAUUAAAUUUUUUUAAAAAACAAGUUGAAUAUCAAUGCCAAACAGCCUCUUAUAUGACAGCAGGCAGCCAAUGAGUUCAAUUUUCAAGCACAUCAUUUCGACGGCUGAGAUCAUCUUCCCGGAAGCUCACAUCUUUUCUGUAUCUUCAACAUAACCUAACAGUAUGCGAUAAUUUAUUGUUUUUGGCUCUCUCUUCAGUCACUCUCUUGGACUGGGUAAAUAAUAUAGUAGCAUUGAAAAAUCAAAGCUUGUUCAAGCUAUCACCCUCCCCAUGGUUGCAUGGACCAAUCAGAGGAGAUAAGGAGAAUGCGAUGGCUUGCAUGCAUGGCACAUAUUUGUCUGUUUAUAUGCUUGGACCAAUCUGUUUAUAUGAUUAUUGAGAUUUGAGAAUAUUUAAACUGAAAUAAAAAUUUAUAAUAAUAUUUAAGAACUAUAUUAAAAUUAAAAAAUAAAUGAAUCGAGUAAAUUUUACAUGGGGGGUGUAAAAAAACAAAACAGAGAAAAAAGUAAACAGAAAAGGCUAGCACAAGGUCCGCCAUAACUCUUGGCCCACAGGCACUUAGCGCUUGACCUUGUUUUAUUUUUCUGAAAAAUUGGGACGGACAAUGUCUAGUCUAUUAUUAUCAUAAUUUCGAAAAAAAAUUCUAUUUAUUUGAAAAGUUUAUUUUGUUUUAUUAUAUUUUUUUUAAUUAAUAUUUUUUUUGAAAAAAAUUAUCUUUUAAUAUUAUUUUUUUUAUUGAGUUAUCUCAUUUUUUUUACAUAGAUCAUAAAUCUAUCUGAUAGGUUAACUUUUUUUUUUUUUUAAUUAGCUUAAUUUGAUGUGAUUCUCGAGAAUAGAUGCUAAGAUUGGUGGCAAAUCAGAUGAAUCAGUGAUGAUAAAUGAUAAAUGGCAGCAGCAUAUACGAGGGAAGAACCUGUGGGUCGUCAUUGGGUGAAAAAGAAACAGGGGAAGCUGUAUGAAAAACACCUUCACAUCACAUCUAUCGGAUCAAAAAAAGCUUUGGGAUCAACAGGUUUGUUUUUUUUAUGGUUUCAUGUUUAAUCUCUAGGUUGCUCAUGUGAUGGUCACUAGAAACUUACAUAGUCGUUAACUUCAGGGCCCGUGAGAUUAGUCGAGGUGCACGCAAGCUGGCCCGGACACCCACGUAAAUAAUAAUAAAAAAAGCCCCUUCUUCCAAUAAAUUAGCCUUGAACAAAUGAAGUCUUUCUUUAGCUCCGUCAAGUGCAAGCAGGUGUUCUGUUUUCUUUGGAUCAUCUGUAACAAAAUAAUACGAGUACAUAAAAAAU
rnacentral:lncRNA from 1 species